AGUCAAGUAAUUAAGUGCAUGUGGUGGAUGCCUUGGCAGUCAGAGGCGAUGAAAGACGUGAUAGCCUGCGAAAAGCUCCGGGGAGGCGGCAAAUAUCCUUUGAUCCGGAGAUGUCUGAAUGGGGGAACCCACCUACUUUAAGGUAG
rnacentral:rRNA from 1 species